UACGGGGGGGGCAAGCGUUGUUCGGAAUUACUGGGCGUAAAGGGCUCGUAGGCGGCCAACUAAGUCAGACGUGAAAUCCCUCGGCUUAACCGGGGAACUGCGUCUGAUACUGGAUGGCUUGAGGUUGGGAGAUGGGAUGCGGAAUUCCGAGGUGUAGCGGUGAAAUGCGUAGAUAUCUGGAGGAACACCGGUGGCGAAGGCGGCAUCCUGGGACCAAUUCUGACGCUGAGGAGCGAAAGCCAGGGGAGCAAACGGG
rnacentral:rRNA from 1 species